AAAUCUUCGACAAACUUAUUUUCUUCGAUUUUCUUGGUCCCAAAAUCUUCUGAAACUUGCCAUACAUGAUAUUUAUCAUUAAUCAUACUUGAUAAUGGUCAUGUCCUUUGGUUCCAAGGUUGUCCUUCCCAGUGAUGACUUGCGAGAUCGCAAUUCAACCUGUGCGUCAUUGUUACGUCUUUUUCAUGGCUUGUAUCUCCCAAAACUUCAUGGGACGUCUCUGAUACUCUGUUAAUAUGUGAAGUACGUGGCAUGCUCAUGCUCUGAAAGUGCGAGGUGUAACAGGUGAUUGGUUUUUAUAAGCAAUUAUUGGGUUCCUCAUCUGACGAGCUACCUGCUGUGAAUACAAUCACAAUGAAAGAUGGUCCAUUACUAAGUAGAGAGCAACAAUUACACUUGAUCGCACCUGUUACUCGAGUGGAGGUAUACAGGGCCCUUCAGGAUAUUAGUGAUCUCAAAGCACCCGGAUGUGAUGGUUUUAAUGCCCUGUUUUUUAAGAAGGCUUAGCCUGCUAUUGGACAAAACAUCACCACUGCAAUAUUGAAUUUCUUCUCAUGAGAUGUACUAUCCUAUAAACUGCACUACAGUCACUUUAGUGCCAAAAGUACCAAGUCCAACUAAGAUUAUGGAGUUUCGACCUAUUUCUUAUUGUACAAUGUUGUACAAGCUGAUUUCCAAAGUUCUUACAACAAGGCUUCAGAGUGUCAUGGAUUGGCUUGUGGAGAGAAAUCAAUAUACUUUUGUACCAGGGAGGGUGAUCAGUGACAACAUCCUCCUGAGUCAUGAAUUGGUCAAAGGAUAUGGAAGAAAAAACAUAUCUCUUUGAUGCAUGCCCAAGGUGGACAUGAAAGAGGCUUAUGAUUCUGUCGAAUGGCCCUAUUUAGAGCAGAUCUUGGUUGCAUUACAGUUCCCUGAGAAGGUAAAAUGGAUAAUGACUUGCAUCACGAUUGUCUCCUAUUAUGUUAUCAUUAAUGGACAGCCUAGACCUCAAUUUUUUGCCAAAAAAAAGAUUGAGGCAAGGGGACCCACUAUCUCCUUUCCUUUUUGUGCUAGUUAUGGAGUAUCUCACAAGAAUUUUGAAGACCCUAAAGGAAAAUCCAGAUUUUAAUUACCACCCAAAGUGCUAAAAAUGCACAUAGUGCAACUGAGCUUUGCUGGUGAUCUUUUAAUGUUUUGCAGGAGAGACACCAUCUCAGUCCAAUUGCUUCAUGCCUGUUUCCAGGAAUUCUCGCAAGCAUCAGGCUGUGUAACCAAUGUCGAGAAGAGUUCUAUAUAUUUUUUUUGUGUGGGGGGAAGGGGGUGAAUGCCUCUGUGCGGGAGGAGAUACUACAAACUCUUGGUUUCUCGUAAGGACAUUCUAAUGGAUAGGACAAGCAGAAUUACCCAAGAAAGCUCUAGUUGCAUGCGAGUAAUUAUGCAACCCAAGAUCUGCAGGGGGGCUUAAUAUUCUAGAUGUUAAAAUGUGGAACUAGGAUGCCAUAUGUAAGAUCUUAUGGAAUUUGUGCAAGAAGAAGGACAAGUUGUGGGUGCAAUGGCUACAUGUUUACUAUAGCAAGCAAGGCUCUAUAUGGGGUGUAAAGGUUGGACAGGCAUCAGGGGUGAUUAAUAAAAUCCUAAAAGCUAGUCAAUAUCUAGCACAGAUUGGGGUUACUGAAACUAAUUUGAUACAGUGGGAGCACUUCUCCAUUAAGAAAGUUUACUUGCAGUUGAGGGGUGAGUUCCAAAGAGUACCAUGGCGACGACUAGUUUGCAAUAAUGGAGGACCACCUAGGUGGAUUUUCAUCCUCUACUUCGCUGUAUAUGGCAGAAUGCUUACUAAGGAUUGACUAGCCAAAUGGGGCACUAUUGAAGACACUCAGUGUUCACUAUGUGAAGAGCAUGAAGAAAGUAGUGGGAAUUUGUUCUUUACUUGUCCACUUUCGUCUCAAAUCUGGGCAAAGUUACUCAUUUGGCAAGGGAUUCCACGACAUGCUAUGGAAUGGUGACAAGAAAUGCUAUGGGUAGUGACACAUUGUAGAGGAAGAACUAUGACUGCUGAGAUAUAUAGAAUGGUAUUGGCUUGGAGCAUCUACUAUAUCUGGCAAGAGAGGAAUAAUAGGAUCUUUCAAGGUAAGAGAAGAACUGUGCUUACAUUGAUUAAACUCAUUAUCCAAGAAGUGCAUUGUAGAGGAACUAAAUGGCCUAGGUUGGGCCGCAGGUUGCAGGAGCUGAACUGCUAUCCCGAUGUUUAGUAUACUUUGAGGUAGUAGUUCGUAGAAGAACAGUUGUUUCCUGAGUUUGUGCAAGGCUGGAACUUAUGUCCAGACCUGCCAGUUUUUUUGACUCCAUCUUUGUAAAUAUUACUUGGUAAAUAAUAAAAUCGUUACUUACCAAAAAAAA